rnacentral:pre_miRNA from 1 species
AGUCCAUGGCAGCAUGGAAGACUAGUGAUUUUGUUGUUUUGUUGUUAAACCGACAACAAGUCAUUGUCUCCCGCGCUGCUUUGAGACA